AUUUAUAGAAAGAUUAACAGAUUCCCUAGGUGUAGCUAAAAGUGCAUUAUCUUCUUGAUUAAAAGAUAGGACCUCGGCUAUGGAAAAGGGUUGGUUUUGACCUAUUGCAAUCAACUCCGGACAUAGAUCAUAAUUAGGGGCAAAGAAAGGACUUGUUGACUCCCAUGGUCUAUGGCUGGUCUCCGAAGGUGCAAAGAAUUCAAUAAUAGGUAUGGAAUUUGAGGUAUCCAUAAAGAUGAAAAAAUAAAAAGAUAAAAGAAUAAAAGUAUAAAAGUAUAAUACAAGAUAAUAGCAAGACUUAAAGUUAUCUCAGCAAACCAUCUUUCUCCCCGGCAACGGUGCCAGAAAUGCUUGUUGAUAUUUGGUAACGCCAUCAGGAAAUGAUCCGCAAGCGCAUGGAUAUCGGUGAGCAUUUCACCUGGGAGGUUAUCCAGAGUAUCGUAUUUAUAUUUUUACCAC
rnacentral:lncRNA from 1 species